UGAAUAAUUUCGAAAUAAACGUUUCGCAAAACAUUUUCCUGUGACUAUAUAUUAUAAUAUAAUAUUGUACGGGAAGUAUUUUUUUUUUUCCAUUGCAUUGUUCAAAAUCAAUGAGCUCGGUAAACGGAAACGAAUAUAAUAGCGAAUGCAUGGCGAUUUAAAAUUUCAAAAGAAAAAAGAAAAUCAAAGUGUUAAAUAAAUUUAUGUAUAGAA